rnacentral:rRNA from 1 species
AGAGUUUGAUCCUGGCUCAGGAUGAACGCUAGCGGCAGGCCUAAUACAUGCAAGUCGAACGGUAAGUGUGGUAGCAAUAUUACACGAGAGUGACGUACGGGUGCGUAACACGUAUGCAACCUACCCAAAACAGGAGUAUAGCUCGGGGAAACUCGAAUUAACCCUCCAUAAGAUCAAGGUGUAGCAUUACACAGUGAUAAAAACUGAGGUGGUUUUGGAUGGGCAUGCGUCUGAUUAGCUAGUUGGCGGGGUAACGGCCCACCAAGGCGAUGAUCAGUAGGGGAACUGAGAGGUUGAUCCCCCACACUGGCACUGAGAUACGGGCCAGACUCCUACGGGAGGCAGCAGUAGGGAAUAUUGGUCAAUGGGUGAGAGCCUGAACCAGCCAUGCCGCGUGCAGGAAGAAGGCCUUCUGGGUUGUAAACUGCUUUUGCCAGGGGAUAAAAAUUCCAUGCGUGGAAGAUGAAGGUACCUGG